rnacentral:tRNA from 1 species
UCCCUGAUGGCUCAGACGGUAAAGAAAUUGCCUGCAAUGCAGGAGAUCCAGGUUCAGUCCCCGGUUUGGGAA